CCAAUUCUAAACUUAUUGCCUUAAGCACAUACAUACAAUACUAAAUAUGGAGAUCAUUUGCUGAAAUUAGCUACAGGCCACAUGCAUUUGAGAAUUGAAACUACUACUAAGCUACUAUUGAAUUCAUACGUAUAAUGAAUACUCUAGACAUUGAACUAAGCAUUACAAUGCAACAGUAGUUCCUAAAUUUAUUCAAGUACUAAAACCAAGAUCCCAAAACAAUAGAGUCAUGAUAGGAGUUAAUCUCGAGCUGAACUUCACUACUAACUUGAAUAAAACAAAACCCAACAAGAGGAGUCCCCAAACUCCUGCUACAAUAGCCCAGGCAUUAUAUGCUUAUCAAGGAAAGUUUUAGCCAAACCAAGAUCAUGAUAAGUUAAAGUCCAAAUACAAACCUAGCAUGGAACAUAUUAUCAACAGAAUGAAUGAAUAUAAGGACAAAUCAUAAAAUCAACUACUGAAAUGCAUAAAACAAAGAUAGAUUCUAAAUUACAUCAGCUGAUACUAAUGCUUAGGUAUCCACAUUAAAUUAACAUGCUUCAUGUUUGAGCUUCACAUUCGAUAAGGUCCAAGAGAUACCUGGGACAGAGUUUAGAGCAAAAGAAAAAUGAAGAAAUCAGCAACAAUAGAAGAAUAUAAAUCAGCAAUUCAGCACAUGUAAUCUCAGCUUCCUUAGACCAUUUAUAACCCCAAAAAAUAGAAAUUAUUUGAAAGUUUGGAAAAUUCUAACUAACUAUGAAGAUCAAGAGCAGAACCAAAACAAAUUUCAAUCAAAAGAUGCAGGAAAUUUUUAGUAUUUUUAGAGUAUGAAAGGUUUCCCCAGAAAUGAGAGGAAAGGGCUCUUAUAUAGACAACUUAAGGCAGCCCUAGCCUAGCUAACCAUUUCCCCUUUUACCCCUCCAAUUCUGUCAUUUUACUCUUUUUUAACCCCUCAAAAUAUCUGAAAAUUCCCUCCUCUUAACUAACAAGCUUAACCUUAUCCUCUAUAAGCUUCUAUACUAACAGAAAAAUAUUCUCUGAUUUUCAAAUACCCAAAUUAUCCCUUUACCCCUUGCAAUUUACAUUCUGAAGAUCAACAUGGGUCAAAUUUGACCUAUGACCCAAACCAAAAAACCUGAGCUUGUCUGGCCCAACAAUGCUAAACCAAUCAACCUAAAAUAAAGACAUAGGUAUUAGAAUCUGAGCAGUAGCCUUAAGACUUACUGAUUUCAACUAACAAACGAGACUAAAUUAAUUAAAGCAAAUUGUGACUGACUCUGAACUAAAACAUGCUGAAAAUGCAUCGAUAAUUAACUAAUUCGAACAAAAUGGAUAAUAGCAACUAAUCAGGGAAAAUAAAUAAAGCAACCAAAUUCAUAUGAAUAGAUUGUUUGAAAUUGAAAGAAGAAAUCAGAAAACAACCGAAUCAAAAACAAACAAAUAGAAAACCAAAGAGAAAGGAUAAAGCAUUGGCUAGGUCCAAAGAUUAUUCCUUCAUUAUUUUUGGUCGGGAAAAAAAGAACAUAACAGAACAGACUAGGAAAAAAUGGAAGAAAGAAAAUAGAAAGAGAUAGAGGGGAAAAACAAAAGAAACAAAAGAAGUACCUAAUGGUUGACUUAAGAACUCCGGCCGUUUCGAUUUAAGCCCAAGAUUAAUAUUAAUCGCAUGUUCUUGUUGAGAACACACAAAUAACAUCAAUUUAAUGCUAAAUCAACCCUUGAAACUCGAAGACUUGACUCUUAACUUUUCAUGCCACGGAUCCGAAGUCAGGGUAAAUUUGGGGCUUUAGGGUUUCGGGGUAUUGAUUUUAGAUCUAUAAUUCGAGAAGAUUGAGAGGGAUUCGAGGGACAUGGUUUGGGUUUUGUGAGGGAUAGGUCACAGGGAUUCUAGGGUGUAAUUUCGGGACGGAUUGGGGCUACGCCACCGACAAAGAUGGUGGGGAACUUUAGGGCGGUGCUAGGGUUUUGGUUCUCUAAGUCUGAGAGAUGUGAAAUGAGGCCGAUGGAACUGGG
rnacentral:lncRNA from 1 species